rnacentral:rRNA from 1 species
GAUGAACGCUGGCGGCGUGCCUAAUACAUGCAAGUCGAGCGAACGGACGAGAAGCUUGCUUCUCUGAUGUUAGCGGCGGACGGGUGAGUAAAACGUGGAUAACCUACCUAUAAGACUGGGAUAACUUCGGGAAACCGGAGCUAACACCGGCUAAUAUUUUGAACCGCAUGGUUCAAAAGUGAAAGACGGUCUUGCUGUCACUUAUAGAUGGAACCGCGCUGCAUUAGCUAGUUGGUAAGGUAACGGCGUACCAAGGCAACGAUGCAUAGCAGACCUGAGAGGGUGAUCGGCCACACUGGAACUGAGACACGGUCCAGACUCCUACGGGAGGCAGCAGUAGGGAAUCUUCCGCAAUGGGCGAAAGCCUGACGGAGCAACGCCGCGUGAGUGAUGAAGGUCUUCGGAGCGUAAAACUCUGUUAUUAGGGAAGAACAUAUGUGUAAGUAACUGUGCACAUCUUGACGGUACCUAAUCAGAAAGCCACGGCUAACUACGUG